CCCGCUCUGGGAGAGAGACCAAAACCGCCUCAGCCAGGACCCAGCAUCGUCACCGGCCUUAAUUUGCGCUGAGCCACCGCAGGUUCAGGGAAGUGGCUGCAGCUGCCCUCAGACACAUGGCAGUGGGGUGCUGCGGGUGCAUCCCACACCGCUGCCACAGCCCUGAGUGCUGGGGCACAGACAGGCCCCCAAAACCACGCACGCACGAGCACUCCCCUGUAUCCUCAAGACAGAUAUGGCCACCUCUGCCGGGUGCUCCUGGGCAAGGUGGCUGCCACAUAACCCCUGGGUGAUGCCAGCUCAGAGGGAGCUGGUGUUGUAACCCACCCACAUGCACGCCUCCCCCUUUGAAGUCUCACAACCAAUUCGUGUCUCACUUCACCUCCAAGGACAAGCCAGCAGAAAAAUCAAAGAGAACGUGCAGGUGGCACCCAGGCUCGGUCCCUUUCACAGUGUCCUGCCCGCUCCCAGCACCACAUCACUGCUGGCUGGAGCACGUCACCACCGCUGGGCUCUGAGCCGCAGUGGCAGAGGUGGCCCUGGAGAAGGAUGGGGAUGGGAAUGUGUGGGAGCUGCAUCCCACCAGUGACAGCUCCUCCAGGACAGCUCCAGGCUUUGCCUUCACACCGAGCAUUCACCCAAGCUCCCCAGCCCCUUGUGUCCAGAGCACCAGGGUGCAACCCAUGCCAUUCCUCUAGCAUUAAUAAAGCCAUUAAUUAACUAAUAGAUUGCCACUAAUUAACUAAUAGAAAUACCACUUUGCAAGUGCCUCAGUUUGGAUCACGGUGGUAAGCGGGCUCGAGGAGGCAGAAGAUAUUUUAAUGCCAGGGCGGCUGUUUAAUACAGGCAAACCCUCCUCGGGUCGCUCCUGAAGCCCGCGCACGCUGAGCACAGGCCUGCACAGAAGAAACAACGCGACAGAUGAGCUGGGUUUCCCAGGAGAAAAGCCCAAACGGGAGCAGAGGAGCCCGGCCGCAGGCUGCACAGAGCAGCUUUUCAUUACAAAGGGCCAGGAAGCAUCUCGGAGCUGGCAGCAACACCGACACCAUGCAAGAGGGAAUCUUUCAGGCUGAUGCAGCAACAAAGGCAGUUAAAUCUAGCCAGGGGGAAUUAUUUUGGGUAAUCCGUGCGUUGCUGCUCGUUGAGCACUGGAGCAGAAGUAAGCAGCAGGUGGGAUGUGAAAUGAACCCAAGGGUUGUAAUGAGCCGUGCCGGUGGAGGCAGUGCCAGCUCAGUGAGCUGUGCUGCUGUGCAGGGACCCAUGGCCCCUCACCGUCCCA